AGCGAACGCUGGCGGCAGGCCUAACACAUGCAAGUCGAACGAAGUCUUCGGACUUAGUGGCGCACGGGUGAGUAACAUGUGGGAAUAUGCCUUUUGGUACGGAACAACGUUUGGAAACGAACGCUAAUACCGUAUGGUCCCUCCGGGGUAAAGAUUUAUCGCCAAAAGAUUAGCCCGCACUAGAUUAGCUAGUUGGUAAGGUAAUGGCUUACCAAGGCGACGAUCUAUAGCUGUUCUGAGAGGAAGAUCAGCCACACUGGGACUGAGACACGGCCCAGACUCCUACGGGAGGCAGCAGUUAGGAAUAUUGGACAAUGGGCGCAAGCCUGAUCCAGCCAUGCCGCGUGAGUGAUGAAGGCCUUCGGGUUGUAAAGCUCUUUAGCCGACGAAUAUAAUGACUGUAGUCGGAGGAUAAGCCCCGGCUAACUUCGUGCCAGCCGCCGCGGUAAAAC
rnacentral:rRNA from 1 species